UGAACCUUUUUUUUCAAUAACACAAUUCAAAAACUUUCAACAACGGAUCUCUUGGUUCUCGCAUCGAUGAAGAACGCAGCGAAUUGCGAUACGUAAUAUGACUUGCAGACGUGAAUCAUUGAAUCUUUGAACGCACAUUGCGCCCCGGGGUAUUCCCCAGGGCAUGCGUGGGUGAGCGAUAUUUACUCUCAAACCUCCGGUUUGGUCCUGCUUCGGCCUAAUAUCAACGGCGCUAGAAUAAGUUUUAGCCCCAUUCUUCUUCCUCACCCUCGUAAGACUACCCGCUGAACUUAAGCAUAUCAAUAAGCGGAGGAAAGGC
rnacentral:rRNA from 1 species